AAUCUGACAGAUUUUCAAGUUUCUUUCAACAGGUGUGAAAAUGAACAAUUUACUUCCUUCUUUUAAUGAAAACUUUGAUUUUCACGCAGUAUUAACAUCACUGAAAAAGUCCACAGCCAGCACGGAGAUGGCUCUCCUAAUGAAUGCAUUUAGCUGCUUGGCUGCUGGCUUGGACUGAAUGCAGUCCCUGGGCCAGGCCUGUGCUGCUUUGAAGGGAAAACGUUUCUUCUCUCAUCAUUUGCAGUCACUGGAACAUUCAUAAAUGAAGGCUGCAGCAGGGUAUGGCCACUGAGACGAAACAUCUCAUUUUCAAGAACAUCUUCGGGGAUGAUGGCAAAUCACAGACACCCACAGCGAUGCGCUCGACGUUAAAGAAUAUAGUGUAAAAUCAAAUAUGACAAGCAGAGGGCCUGUUUUUGUUUCAUUGCUUUUUCUUAUAAACAGAACAAUACAUUUGCUUAAAAGCUAGAUAAAUUGUGAAAGGAUGUAAUAUUCUGUACUGUGUUGUUCUGGUCCAAUGGCUUAGAAUAACUAAAGAAUCGUAUUUGGUUUUUACUUUAGAGAAUUUAAACUCCAUCACCUUCACAGCUCUCAGUCUGCAUCGGUUAUUGAACAGGAACUGAUAUUGUGCUAGCUGAAGAAAUAAGAACCCAAUAAACAGCAAAACAGCUUUAUGCAACUGGAUUUCUUUCAUUCUUGUCCUGGAGUUUCCUGCUGCUGCUUUAUGUAAGACACUUUUGUGGACUCUUGUUUUUCUCUUACAUAAAGAGUUCUUUUUUUUUUUUUUUUUUUUCCAUUUCACCAACUUUUAUUUGAGAUAUUUUUUUAUUUUUUUUUCCAAAUAAAAUAUUCUCAAACCUUGCAUCAUGUCACAGAAAUAAUCCCAGGACCAAAACAUACCAAUGACAUCAAAGGUCUUCUUUUGCUGAAAUAAAAACACAGACACUUAAAUAAAAUCAGUCCUCCUCCCAUCGAAGCAACAAUAAACUGAGAAUUACCCCACUGGUAAAUGUGCAUCCGAAGUCCACAACAAUUUAAUGGCUCAGUGUAAGAUUUUCCUUGCAAAGAAUGACAUGCUCCAUGUUUUUAUUUCCUUUGGCAAUACUGACUUUCUUGAUGUCUAUUUGCAAAAAAAGACAGACAGAAAGAAAGAAAAGCAGGAAUCACACAGAGAUGCACAGCUCCCAUGUAGAGGCUUAGUUACAUAUUUUAAAGGCUUUGGACUCAGUCCCUCACCUUAUCUGGAUCAGUAUGGUUUUACUGAGUUCAGUACCACAUCACACCACUGAGACUUCAGCUUUCCGUGCUUCACUGAAGUCCCCAUACUGUGCAGUGAGUCACAGGUUAGACAUACUUCAGUGUUUAGGGUUAUGGCGAGAACUGCCCAGUUCUCACUUUCUCUCAUGCCCGAGCCUUCAUUUCAAAGCAGAGGACUGCCUGGGCCUGAGUGUACGUGCCUGGAGCGCAGCAGGAUCCCAGCAAGGCCUGAUUCCUCCAGCAGGCACCUGCAGCAAUCGCCUCGAAAAUAAAUCUGUAUAGUGAAGGGAGAGAGGACCGAUGUGUAAAGGGAGAGGAACAGAGGCAAUCUCAGUACUUCCAAAGACAACCUGAGAUUGAAUUUACAAAACUUGAAGCAAAAGCACAAGAUGUUUUUCAGCAGCACAAAACAGAAAUUAGAAGCGAGGCACUAUGGAUCCAGAAUUUGUUUUCAAACAAGAGCAAUGAGUUAUCAUGAGAGCAAAAGACAGAUGAUGGGAACGAGCUGGAAAUCAUAGUGGAAACAAAGCUUGAGUUCAGUGCACUUGAUUCAGAGAAACUGGAUGAUCUCACCUCAGUGUUCUGAAAAAUACUGGCACAAAAAAAAUGGCAAGACGGGUGUUCCAGAAAGAAAACAAAGCGCUUAGAUCUAGUCUAGACUCAUUAGUCUGUCUCAAUAAUAUUCAGGGUUUAAAACUGAUUCUGAAGAAAAUGAUAAUUAAAGACAUGAAUGUGAAGGGAAAAUGUGAUAAAACACAACACAAGUGAUUUUAAGGUAGCUUCUGCCAGGUUGUCUUUAAUGAGACAACAAAUCGACUUAACAAAGAAAACGUUUCCAUUAAAACUCUCCGGUCUUCAGUAGGUUAUAUUGGUCUAGGUCAUGUAGGAAUCCUUUCUUUGAGAUGGCAAAUAUAGGGUCAGUUGCAAAAGUGAAAGGUGAGUGAAAAGCUGUCUUAGAGAUAGCAGUGUGGAAGGAAAAGGAGGCAAUGAGUAAUCCUGCAAGAAGUGUGUGGCUGGAGGGAUGUUACUUGGCAAGACUCCAAAGUCUUAAUAUUUUGAUAAUGACCCUGUCAAAACCUUUAGAACUGUGCAGAUAAAUUAGGUAGUGACCUAAUAUUAGGCAUCACAUAAUGAAUACUGAGGAAUAGCAGUGUACCAUACAAAAGUCAUAAAUGACUCUUCAGGCUGGAGUAAAGGAAAGGGAUGAAAUCCUGUAGUACCAAAAGUGAGAUCAUGCACUUCGGAACGCAUUCCCCAGUUUUCAGUCAGACCCAUUGCUGGCUUCAAACACAGGGAUUUGCACAGUCAUGGCAACCUAACAGAGGUAUUAUCUAAUUGUUAUUGAUAAGAGUGGGAAGGAGGCUCUAAAACAUACUUUAAUCAUAUUAUAUAAACCCCAGUCCUUUUUCCCACCUGGCAAAGCCAACAGAGGGAACAUGUGGUACUCUGCUCCAGAGAGAAUGGGCAUCUUAUAGUAGCACAAACACCUUCUGUGGAUCACUGCUGCCAACACAGGACCAGAACGGUCACUGGAGACCCCUGUGCUAGCAGGGACCUGCCACCAGCUGCUGACCACCCAAACAGGACAGUCUGUCACCAUACACAGGCUGGGCACCAGGCAUGGUGGGGCCACAGGAGCCUCAAUGGUGUCGGGACACAAGGGCUGCCUUACCACAAGUUUCUCGACAGUCCUGUUCAGGAACAGGGGGUUUGGAGCAGGUUCAGCAACAACAGAUGGUCAGUCUCAAGGGAUAGGCUUUGGAGCAGAGCUCUCCUAAGUCACUCUGUAAAAAAUAGCAGUAGCUAUUUUUCUACUCUAAAGUGGAUGUGGUUGGCACCUAUUUGGUGAGUUUUCUUGUGCCAUGGAGGGCAUGGGCACAGAUGACAGUUUGCAGGGCAUUUUUUUCUUGAGGCUCAGCAAAGCCUCAAGGAGAAGCAAUAGCCAAAACUCAGGUGGAAGCCAACUCUGAAUUUGUUCCAUUGACAUAUUGCUUCACUGCCACAGAGUAAGCAGUAGAAUCCAGAUCUAAGCAUAUGUGUUUGCAAAAUAACAAAUGCAUUUCCCAGAGCUAGAGAUACUAUGCAUAAACUGAACAGAGGCAGUUUGGGUUAACUUGGCUAUAGAUCCUCCACAGAGCCAGAAUUUGAGUCCUCACACGUAGUGGGGUAGAGGAAAAGGAGCCAGCUUUUAGCUUGCUGAGUAGCUGCUAAAUAGCAUUUAAAAUAAUCUUUGUAGAUCAUUUGCAAUGAGUAAAUCUGAUUCUAUAAGGAUCUCUGAAGGACUUAAAAAAUAAGAGCUGUCAAUACCAAGUUAUAGCAAAGAAAGUAGAAAGCUAGCUCUGCAUGUGAAUAAACUAUGAAAGCAUCAGUAAUGAGUCAGAGAAUAACCCACCCCAAAAUCUCCACAGCCAGAAAAAUAAAUUUAGAGAAUAUUUUUCAGCUUUGAAGGAAAGAGUAUCAUAGCUUUAUCCAAUUUCCAUGUUAUGACCUCAAAUCUAAAGUUAAAACAAUGACUUUGCAUUACUGCUGCAAUACCAAUGUCUUGUCUGUAAGAAAUGAACAGAAAGAGUUGUCAGAACAAUGGGAAUCCUGAUGACAUGGUACCAGCAAGGAGCUUAGUAAAGACCCCACCACAUCUAUAAUACAUGGGUUGAAAUCAUGUUUUAAAUUUAUUGUUCAAUUACAGCUUCAGGCUCUUGGAGUUCACUGCUGCCAAGAAAUAUAUAUGACAUUAAAUUAUGGAAUAUUUUGUUAAAUAUUUUAAUACAUUUGAGUACUUGUAACACUUGAUUUAAGUAUAUUAUUCAAAGAACAGAAAACAUUGCUCUUUCCUAAUUAAAAGUGUGAGUCAGCAAACCCAAUAAAAUGCUUACUCUGGUGCUGGAAGAAACUGAAGAGUGAGAAAAAUCCUAUUAGAAAGUCCCCUGUUAUCCUGGCAAUGCCUGACUGAGUGACAUCUCAAUGCAUUUUUGCUGAGUUAAGCCCUACAAACCCAUCCACUUGUGGCACAGGAUGUCAUUUCACCAUUAAUUUAUUUGAUUUAUCCAGAGAUUAAUGGACAUGUGAGAUGUCAGUUAAAAUUUCAGAGCACGUUGGCAUGCUCUGUCAACUAGUGGUAGGCUACAUUAGCAGGAAUGUAGGUGCUCUUUGAGGGGUGGAAGGACACAAAAUUCAGGUGGGACUGACUUCCAGUGGUGGGAAGGGCCCUGCAGACAAUUGACAGUGCUUUCCUGCUGUUCCACCCAAUGGAGCUUAUAGAAAAUCUCAUUAAAAAAAAACAAAAAACAAAAAACAAA